AUUGAACGCUAGCGGCAUGCUUUACACAUGCAAGUCGAACGAGUGGCGGACGGGUGAGUAAUAUAUCGGAACGUGCGCAGUAGCGGGGGAUCACGACUCGAAAGAGUGGCUAAUACCGCACACUAUGGGAGCGGCCGAUGGUGGAUUAGCUAGGUGGUGGGGUAAAGGCUCACCAAGGAAACGAUCCGUAGCUGGUUUGAGAGGCGGACCAGCCACACUGGGACUGAGACACGGCCCAGACUCCUACGGGAGGCAGCAGUGGGGAAUUUUGGGCAAUGGGGGAAACCCUGAUCCAGCAAUCCCGCGUGUAUGAGAAGGCCUUCGGGUUGUAAAGCACUUUUGGCAGGGAAGCGGUAUCUGCCGAAUAAGCACCGGCUAACUACGUGCCAGCCGCCGCGGUAAUUC
rnacentral:rRNA from 1 species